CCGAGCCACAGCACCUCGCUCCCUACGUAUCCCAGCUGGGACCGAGCGCAGGCUCCACCUCCUCCCCGUCGCCUGCAGGCCCAGUAUCUGGCUCCUGGGCACCUAUUAGAUCCUCCCGGAUUCCGCUCUACCGGGCCCGUCGCGCCAAAGCCUUGGCUGGGUACAGGUCCCUCCUCCACACGGCUCUACUUCCGCCUCGCCUCGCCUCACCUCGCCCCACCCCAAGCUCAGGCAGGCCUCGGCUCCUGUCGGUCCCCGUUUGGAAAGGGGUCCAUUGUGGAAACGAUCAGCUCUUUGCAGACCCAACAGGGAGAAGCCUACUUUACUAUUCCAGCAGGAGGAAAGAUUUUCUCAUUGUGUGACAACAGCCCAGCCAAUGAGAGACUGCCAUAACUCAGUCAAUGAAAAGUCACCACACUUUGAACCCCAGGUUUACUCCAAUGGACUUUCUGUUUAUAAUGGGCCCUUCAAACUCCCCCCUUUCCUAUGUAAAAGAUUGCUCCUCUUCUUUGGUUUUGCAACAGCUCACAUGUCUCAAGUUGCAAUUUUCUACUGUUCCUGAUUAAACCCAUUUUUGCUGGUAAAA